rnacentral:misc_RNA from 1 species
UCCGAGUUGACCCCGGCAGUCUCCUACGAGUCCCCGGCUUUACCCGCUGGUAACUGAGAACAAGGGUUGCGCUCGUUGCGGGACUUAACCCAACAUCUCACGACACGAGCUGACGACAGCCAUGCAGCACCUGUGCAGGAGUCCCGAAGGAGGGCCCUGGUUUCUCAGAGCUUUCCCCUGCAUGUCAAGCCUAGGUAAGGUUCUUCGCGUUGCGUCGAAUUAAACCACAUGCUCCACCGCUUGUGCGGGCCCCCGUCAAUUCCUUUGAGUUUCAGCCUUGCGGCCGUACUCCCCAGGCGGGGCACUUAAUGCGUUAGCUACGGCACGGAAGACGUUGAUAAUCCCCCACACCUAGUGCCCAACGUUUACAGCGUGGACUAC